AUUCUCGUCUGAUCUCUGAAGUUAAGCAAUCCUUGAGCCUGGUCAGUAUCUAGAUGGGUGACCGCUUGGGAAUGCCAGGUGAUGUAA